rnacentral:rRNA from 1 species
GACGAACGCUGGCGGCGUGCUUGACACAUGCAAGUCGAACGGAAAGGCCUGCUUUCCCUUGUGGAUUGCGGGUACUCGAGUGGCGAACGGGUGAGUAACACGUGAGUGAUCUGCCCCCAACUUGGGUAUAAGCCUGGGAAACUGGGUCUAAUUCCCGAUAGGACUGCAGGGUGGUGCCUGUGGUGGAAAACGAUUUUCUAGUGGUUGGGGAUGAGCUCGCGGCCUAUCAGCUUGUUGGUGGGGUAAUGGCCUACCAAGGCGGCGACGGGUAGCCGGCCUGGGAGGGUGGACGGCCACAUUGGGACUGAGAUACGGCCCAGACUCCUACGGGAGGCAGCAGUGGGGAAUAUGGCACAAUGGGCGGAAGCCUGAGGCAGCGACGCCGCGUGGGGGAUGACGGCCUUCGGGUUGUAAACUCCUUUCGACCGCGAGGAAGCCACCUGGUUGGAAGGGUGGUGACGGUAGUGGUAGAAGAAGCACCGGCUAACUACGUG